GGAUCUUCGGUAUCUAGUGGCGGACGGGUGAGUAACGCGUGAGANACUGCCCCUUGGACAGGGACAACAGCUGGAAACGGCUGCUAAAACCUGAUGUGCCGAAAGGUGAAAUAUUUAUAGCCAGGGGAUGUGCUCGCGUCUGAUUAGCUAGUUGGUUGGGUAAUGGCCGACCAAGGCAUCGAUCAGUAGCUGGUCUGAGAGGAUGAUCAGCCACACUGGGACUGAGACACGGCCCAGACUCCUACGGGAGGCAGCAGUGGGGAAUUUUCCGCAAUGGGCGCAAGCCUGACGGAGCAAUACCGCGUGAGGGACGAAGGCUUUUGGGUCGUAAACCUCUUUUGUUUGGGAAGAAACUGACGGUACCAAACGAAUAAGCAUCGGCUAAC
rnacentral:rRNA from 1 species